AACGAACGCUGGCGGCGCGCUUAACACAUGCAAGUCGAACGAGAAGGCGUAGCAAUACGCUUGUACAGUGGCGAACGGGUGAGGAAUACAUGGGUAACCUACCCUCGAGUGGGGGAUAACCCGCCGAAAGGCGGGCUAAUACCGCGUACGCUUCCGAUCUUGCGGGAUUGGAAGGAAAGCUGUCCCUUGGGGAUGGCGCUCAAGGAUGGGCUCAUGUCCUAUCAGCCUGNGGUAGGGUAACGGCCUACCAAGGCAUCGACGGGUAGCUGGUCUGAGAGGACGAUCAGCCACACUGGCACUGCGACACGGGCCAGACUCCUACGGGAGGCAGCAGUGAGGAAUAUUGCGCAAUGGGC
rnacentral:rRNA from 1 species